UGGAAUAUUAACAACAAACUUUCGUCUAGAAAAAACUUUGUUCGCAAAUGUUAGCUUGAAUGUUGUGCGAUUCAGUGCAAAAAUGAAUGGAAACACCUUAAAAGGUCUGAAAUCAAUUUGAU